rnacentral:lncRNA from 1 species
AUAGUGUUUGGCUUCUCUUGGCCACUGGAUGAUAUGUCAGAAAGAGGAUCAUCUCCUUCUGCACCAUGGUUGACACAGAUAACUGAAACUGUGGAAAGAAAACCUGCAGGGAAGACUAUUAUAUCACCAAUAACUUGCUGGGAAAUACAGCCCAAAGUCAAGGUGGAGGAGGUGAAGACAAAUGUUGGAAAUGAACAACCAGUAGUUUUCAUGUCCUGCAGAGAAGGUGGGCCCCAGAGCACAUAUCAUGUGGUGAGAUGGAAAGAUGACUGUGCCGCAUUCCGUCCUCUCUCCUCAAAUCCCCAACACAGGAUAAGCUUCAGAACAGUUCCAGAGUUUUUAAUUGGCUGUGGUCAGGUUCUAACGCAAUGAAAAAUAUGAUUCCAGUAAAAUGUAUGGAAG